rnacentral:rRNA from 1 species
GAUGAACGCUGGCGGCGUGCCUAAUACAUGCAAGUCGAGCGAACGGACGAGAAGCUUGCUUCUCUGAUGUUAGCGGCGGACGGGUGAGUAACACGUGGAUAACCUACCUAUAAGACUGGGAUAACUUCGGGAAACCGGAGCUAAUACCGGAUAAUAUUUUGAACCGCAUGGUUCAAAAGUGAAAGACGGUCUUGCUGUCACUUAUAGAUGGAUCCGCGCUGCAUUAGCUAGUUGGUAAGGUAACGGCUUACCAAGGCAACGAUGCAUAGCCGACCUGAGAGGGUGAUCGGCCACACUAGAACUGAGACACGGUCCAGACUCCUACGGGAGGCAGCAGUAGGGAAUCUUCCGCAAUGGGCGAAAGCCUAACGGAACAACGCCGCGUGAGUGAUGAAGGUCUUCGGAUCGUAAAACUCUGUUACUAGGGAAGAACAUAUGUGUAAGUAACUGUGCACAUCUUGACGGUACCUAAUCAGAAAGCCACGGCUAACUACGUG